GUCCGCAGCUGGGUGGCGAAUUUAAAGAUUCGACUAAGCAUGUAGUACUGAGGAUGUAGGUUUUUCGGACGCGGGUUCAAAUCCCGCCAGCUCCACCA
rnacentral:tRNA from 1 species